rnacentral:lncRNA from 1 species
ACACUCAACAUCUUCAUUGGUGACCUAGAUGAAGAGAAAGAACACCAUCUCAACAACUUAGCUGCUGAUACAAAUCCAGGAGACCUCUAAGCUAUGCAAUAGAGAAAUUUGUCAGCCAGGCUUUCCAGGAAUGAUCAUGUUGAUUUAUCUUCAGUGUGGUAUGUCUCAACAAGAUUUCUCCAAACACUUCGUUCUUAAAGCUACCCCCGUUUAAGACACCCCUGCCAUCUGCAGCGUUUUAAGGCUUGAAGCACUAAAAGGUUGCUCCUUGGAUGGUCGUUACUUCGCAAACAGUUGUGGGUUUGAUAGUCAUGGCCUGUGCACUGGAAAAUCCCAAAUCUCUGCAUCAGAGAGUGGAGUUCUUCUGGAGAAUAAUUGUCCUGACUUUCUCCAAAGCUUUCUGAAACUUCUGUGUUGUGUCAGCUGGCUUUGUUACAAGUGGAGGAGAAGGAGCAGCAGUAUUCCCUGGGCUUCUUGACUGCAGGGUAAAUCCUGUGUGACAGUCACUGCUCCUCCAGGAGAGCUGCAGCUGUGCAGAUAAGAAAGGCACGUGUGCUCCUGGGAGAACCUCUGUGGGAAGCAGAGGCCUCAAUGAAAGUGGAGCUCUCAGAAGAAAGGGGCCUGGGAUACGUGCCAUGCAGACGAACCAGAAAACAGUGAGAUAUCCCAAUUCCAGAGUGAGCUCAACUUUUCUUCCAUUACAGACCUCAUAGCCUGAAGUGGUUCCUGGUUUAAUCUGAGGCCUCCUCCAGCAACACUGCAGUGGCAUUCAUCUUGACUUGUGUUUGCAAGCUCAGGCUUGGCAGCACUGUCUGGAAAAGUUUUGCUGCUGCCGUAAUGCCAUGGGAGAAUGAUGGGGAAAAUGUAGGCUGCUAAAAAUUAAAUGGAUGAAUAAUGAAAACAAGCUGAUUAAAUUCUGCAACCUCUUCAGCUUCAUGGCUCUAGGGUGGCUUAUGUCCUGUUAAAAUGAAUGGAUCCUGCAAGCUGGGCUUGGAAGACGAAAAUUAGAGUUUGAUAACAGAAGAAAAAAGCAAGCAGUGCCCAAUGAAAGAUGGCACAAAUAACUGAAGAAAAAUGGAUAUCGUAUUUUAGUCAUCUGGUGUUCCAUUAUGAUGAUCUGCCUUAUUAUUUGAUGGGUAGAAUAUGAUAAGCACUGACAGAGAAGGUUUUAUAUAAUGCAGACAACUUCUUUCUGCCUAGGUAUGUGUUGUUGUUUAAAGCAAGCUUGAAGGAUACCAAGACAGAGUACUUUUCAGGAUGAACAGUGUGUAUGUCCAAAUCUAAAAUAUGUUAGAUAUAACAGGACAAAAUUUCUAUUCUGUCUUACUUCAAAAUUCCUGAGGUGCAAAGGGUCUUUAAGAAAUGUAUGAAAGAGAAAAUAUUUCAACACUUCAACAGCUUGCCAGCUGUUUCCUUUUAGUGCAGACUUACUUUCACAAAGAUUAGAGCAUAUGAAUCCAUAUAAUAAGGGAGAUGGGGGGAAGAGUAAAUGCAAACCAAGAAACAUUCUGCAGGUUCUUGUUUUCACAUAUGUGAAUAUACAGGAGGUAUGUGAUGUUUUGUCUCUGUCCUUUGGUAAAAGAUAUGCCAGGCUGGAGAAGCUUUAACUUCUCCAGCGAAUCUCAAAGACCCUGCAUGAUGGCAGUCCCUUGAAAUAUGUACCUACUGUGACUGCAGCUGGAGUCAGCACAUAAAUUCAGUUGGAGACCUGACUUUGGCAUUAGCUUGCCAGGCUUGAUAAGUCCCAUGGAGGACAAUGUAGUGAGAACGUUCUGUCACAAAUUCUCUUGGGAUUCUUGAGGCUCAGAUGUGCUCUUGGCUACAGGAAGGCCAGUGAGCCAUUAAAGAUGCAGAAGGACAGCUGGUUCUGCUGGCUCAGGUAAGAGGUGCAGGACAUGGGAAGUCCCCUAAGGCAUCCCAGAAUGCAGGAAUCGCUGAUGUCUGUAUUUCAUGUUAGCACAUAAGCUGGUAACACUGGUUUCACAAACAUCAAAAUGAAAUGCACACAGAGAAAAGAGAGAAAAACUACCUUUGAUGGAGACCAGACACAGUAAUGAAUGAUUACUCUCAGUUGAUAGUUUAUAUGAUCUUCUGCCUCUUCUUGGCUCUAAAGGACUCUGCAAAAAUAUACUCUGCAUAUGGAAAUGGUAUAUGUGUAGCUAUGACAGUAAGCCAGAGUAAACUUCCCUUGUCCUUCAUAAAGUGUGGGAAAAAUCAUCGUUCUGAAAGAAAUCUGUGCAUGUUCUGAGCUGGUAAUGUCAUUACCAAAAGAAGAGUUCAGGCAGAGUAGAAAUGUACUUACAUAUUUACACUUAUCAAGUGAAUGCACUCGGAGAUAC